CACUGAUUCAUAUGACUGCUAAUACUAAGACAAAGUAGCUGCACAUUGGAAUUCUUCCCAUAAAAGGCACAUGGCAUUCAAAUAGCCGAAUCUGUAUGCUUCAUUUUGGACACCCUUGCCUGUUAGCCACUGUGAAGCAAAUAUGAGUUUUCCUUGAAUCUGAGGGGGGCAAUUGACAGCUAAUGCUGACUGGUUACUUUUCUUUGGGUUGAUUAGUUGAAGUUGUUGUCUCUCACGGAUCUCAUAGAAAAUUUCAAGUUCCAUUUUGCAGUCUUUACAUCAAGAGAUAAUAUUCAUUUUAAUACCUUUUU
rnacentral:lncRNA from 1 species